CCUACGGGGUGCAGCAGUGAGGAAUAUUGGUCAAUGGACAAGAGUCUGAACCAGCCAAGUAGCGUGAAGGAUGACUGCCCUAUGGGUUGUAAACUUCUUUUAUAUGGGAAUAAAACGUUCCACGUGUGGGAUUUUGUAUGUACCAUAUGAAUAAGGAUCGGCUAACUCCGUGCCAGCAGCCGCGGUAAUACGGAGGAUCCGAGCGUUAUCCGGAUUUAUUGGGUUUAAAGGGAGCGUAGGUGGAUUGUUAAGUCAGUUGUGAAAGUUUGCGGCUCAACCGUAAAAUUGCAGUUGAAACUGGCAGUCUUGAGUACAGUAGAGGUGGGCGGAAUUCGUGGUGUAGCGGUGAAAUGCUUAGAUAUCACGAAGAACUCCGAUUGCGAAGGCAGUUCACUGGACUGCAACUGACACUGAGGCUCGAAAGUGUGGGUAUCAAACAGGAUUAGAUACCCUUGUAGUC
rnacentral:rRNA from 1 species